GACAGAUCAGUCAGUACAGCAUGAGACUCUUAAUCUCAGGGUAGUGGGUUCAAGUCCCACGUUGGGCG